rnacentral:rRNA from 1 species
GCGCACCAGGCGCGAAUACUUUACAAUGUGCGAAAGCACGAUAAGGGAACUCUGAGUGCCUCCUAAGGAGGCUGUUCAGGUGUCUAAAAAGCACCUGAAGGAAGGGCUGGGUAAGACCGGUGCCAGCCGCCGCGGUAACACCGGCAGCCCAAGUGGUAGCCACGUUUAUUGGGUCUAAAGCGUCCGUAGCCGGCUGGGUAAGUUCCUUGGGAAAUUUGGCUGCUUAACAGUCAAGCUUUCAGGGAAUACUGCCCGGCUUGGGACCGGGAGAGGUCAGAGGUACUCCAGGGGUAGGGGUGAAAUCCAUUAAUCCUUGGGGGACCACCGGUAGCGAAGGCGUCUGACCAGACCGGGUCCGACGGUGAGGGACGAAGGCUA